AUCGGUUUGUUAUACAGACCUUAUGAAAGCAGUUUUAGUAAAGCAGUCCUCAGUUCAGGCGUUAUCCCAAGAUACCCUUCCUCGUGAGUCUCCUCCUAAAUGCACCAUAAGUUCAUCUCUGCAAAACAGACCACGUUCGCCACUCAUGUGGCCAAAAAAAAUAAAGGAAGUAUCUAUGUCUGAUUCAAUGACUGGUUUAGUAAAAUGGUUUAACGCUGAUAAAGGUUUUGGCUUUAUUUCUCCACAGGAUGGCAGCAAGGAUGUGUUCGUACACUUCUCCGCCAUUCAGAGCAAUGAUUUCAAAACCCUGGAUGAAGGUCAGACAGUGCAAUUCUCCGUGGAGAAUGGUGCCAAAGGCCCGUCAGCGGUAAAUGUCAUACCGAUGUAAUUCGGUCCGUGACCGGAGUUUAAAACAGCGAUGACGGCAACAGCCUGAGCAGUUAAGCUUCAGUUAACGUAGAAAAACCCGCCUUGUGCGGGUUUUUUUAU
rnacentral:sRNA from 1 species